rnacentral:rRNA from 1 species
GACGAACGCUGGCGGCGUGCUUAACACAUGCAAGUCGAACGGAAAGGCCCUGCUUUUGUGGGGUGCUCGAGUGGCGAACGGGUGAGUAACACGUGAGUAACCUGCCCUUGACUUUGUGAUAACUUCAGGAAACUGGGGCUAAUACCGGAUAGGAGCUCCUGCUGCAUGGUGUGGGUUGGAAAGUUUCGGCGGUUUGGGAUGGACUCGCGGCUUAUCAGCUUGUUGGUGGGGUAGUGGCUUACCAAGGCUUUGACGGGUAGCCGGCCUGAGAGGGUGACCGGCCACAUUGGGACUGAGAUACGGACCAGACUCCUACGGGAGGCAGCAGUGGGGAAUAUUGCACAAUGGGCGGACGCCUGAUGCAGCAACGCCGCGUGCGGGAUGACGGCCUUCGGGUUGUAAACCGCUUUCGCCUGUGACGAAGCGUGAGUGACGGUAAUGGGUAAAGAAGCACCGGCUAACUACGUG